UGACAGACUUUGGAAAUGCACUC
rnacentral:piRNA from 1 species